rnacentral:rRNA from 1 species
UACGUAGGUGGCAAGCGUUAUCCGGAAUUAUUGGGCGUAAAGAGCGCGCAGGUGGUUGAUUAAGUCUGAUGUGAAAGCCCACGGCUUAACCGUGGAGGGUCAUUGGAAACUGGUCGACUUGAGUGCAGAAGAGGGAAGUGGAAUUCCAUGUGUAGCGGUGAAAUGCGUAGAUAUUGGGAGGAACACCAGUGGCGAAGGCGCUUCUCUGGACUGUAACUGACACUGAGGCACGAAAGCGUGGGGAGCAAACAGGAUUAGAUA